rnacentral:rRNA from 1 species
CUACGGAGGGUGCAAGCGUUAUUCGGAAUCGCUGGGCGUAAAGGACGCGUAGGCGGGUUGGCAAGUCAGAUGUGAAAUCCUACAGCUCAACUGUAGAACUGCAUUUGAAACUGCUAACCUAGAGUAUGGGAGGGGGAGAUGGAAUUAGUGGUGUAGGGGUAAAAUCCGUAGAUAUCACUAGGAAUACCGAAAGCGAAGGCGAUCUCCUGGAACAUAACUGACGCUAAGGCGUGAAAGCGUGGGGAGCAAACAGGAUUAGAAACCCUAGUAGUCC